AAAUUACGCCUGCAUGAAGCCGGAAUUGCUAGUAAUGGCAGGUCAGCAUACUGCCGUGAAUACGUUCCCGGGCCUUGUACACACCGCCCGUCACACCAUGAGAGUUGGGGAUACCCGAAGCCUGUGAGCCAACUUUUAGAGGCAGCAGUCGAAGGUAGAAUCAAUGAUUGGGGUGAAGUCGUAACAAGGUAUC
rnacentral:rRNA from 1 species